GUUUCUUGAGGUUUUCACCAGAAGCAGAUGGUGAUUCUAUAAGCAUUCACCUUCUCUAUUCUUUACUGAAUGACUUUGGAGUAAAAGACCUUCACCAGUCAACUUGGUUAGAAAUUCUGAGGGUAUCUCAGAUUUUUUUUUUCUUUAUAAUGGAUGCACCUACUCCACUCCUCUUAUUUCGUCUUAGGGAGAAGUCUUAGAAUCACGUACCUUCUCUGUAUUACAAGAAGCUAUACCUGAUGCUGAGUUUUUAUUUUAUUUUAUUUAGGACAGUACCAUAAAAUAUUCAGUGUUGUGUGCUUUCUCCCAAUCAAGCUGAAUCAAGACGGCUGCAAAAUUCUGCACCUGUUGUUAAUAUCCAUAUGCUAUCGAUGGGAUAUUCCAUAUACCAUCUGUGGAAUACACAGGGUGUCUUAACAGGGAAAGCACAGGUGGCAUGCAGGGUGCUGUGGGUGCUUGUUAGCUUACAGAGGGGUCUGCAGGUGAGUUGUUUCGUAGGGUUUAUGGGCAGACCUUUGGUGAAACCCACAAGCUGCUUAGCAAGAACCACAGCCAGCUGUUGAGAUGUAUGUGCAGGUUGCUGUGAGUUCCUACCCCUAACUCAUUCCAGAUAAUUCAGCUGUGCUGAUUUCCUUAUUGAUCUGAGUGAGAUGAGACAGAAGUAGCCUCUAAGCAGCAUCUUUCAAGACUGGAAAAGCUGAGUGGUCAUUUUUCUCUCACUUUCCCCUACAGGAGAAUUUGCAGGCUAAGGAAGGCAUAUUUCAGCACUAAGUUGCCCCACCCUGGAAAUGGGGUGACAUAAAGUAAAAUUGCUCUUUACCAUAUCUCAUGAGUUCAUUAUCAGACUUUUUUCUCCACUGGGGUGCUGACAUUUCACAGCUGAACUAUAUAUUACUCAAAAAGUUAUACUUGUCUUUGGGUAGUUUCCAAAAUCAGUGUUUUUAUGGGCUGAUGAGGGCUGGAACGUCCUAUAACACAAUAUUGCCGAC
rnacentral:lncRNA from 10 species